rnacentral:misc_RNA from 1 species
CUGGCUUGAGUUUGCUUGACGGCUCGUUCCGCCGUUGCCGUGUUGCCAAGAAGCUCGCCUGAUACACACAGGCACGCACGUUACCAUCACCACCACCCUCUCUCUAUCGAUCGCUUGCCUCGUGAGGCAUCCCGGGAUAUUUUUGUGCGGGGCGGGGCAGUCACGCCAACUGAAAUGCUGUUAUCCUCACACACACAGCACACACGCUGUCGUCGCGGCCCCCUCGCCCUUGACGCGCACGAUGUUCUCCUACCUACCCGCAGAUGCCAAGGAGAAGCUAGCUCUCUACGUCUACCGCAGCGAGGACCGCAGCUAUCUCUACAACCACAUGUGGCGGCCGCUGUGCCGAAAGGUGGUGCAUUACCUGCCGGUGUGGCUGGCGCCGAACAUCAUUACCGUCGCCGCCCUCGCGUUCGUGGGCACCACCCAUGGCCUUCUAGCGUACUACAUGCCGAAGUUGACGGUCAGCGGCGAGCACUACCUCACCUGCAGCGAGACGGGCACGACACCCCUGCAGUUGGUGGAGUGUCCGCCGCCGCCGCCGCCGGCGUUUGUGUUCGUUCUUGCGGCGGUCGCGCUUUUCCUCUACCAGCUCCUCGACAACCUCGACGGGCAUCAAGCGCGCCGCACCGGCACCUCGAGUCCGCUGGGGAUGCUCAUGGACCACGGCUGCGACGCCGUUAACUGCAUCAUCGGCGCUCUGUCUGUUGCAACGGCGGUGUCGGCCGGGCCGUCCUGGAAGACGUGGCUGAUUGUGCUCAACACGGUCAUCACGUUUUUCCUGAACACCUGGGAGGAGUACUACCGUGGCGUGCUCGUGCUACCCGUCAUCAACGGCCCCAACGAAGGCAUCCUCAUUGCGAUCGGCGUCUACCUGUGGACAGCGUGGGUAGGGGGGCCGCAGUGGUGGUACAAGAACGCGAUCGAGGUGCCGUCUCGGUGGUUGCCGCAAGUACUGCGUCAGCCAGCCCCGCAGGCGGCCGUCGACAUUGAGGCGAUGGUGCUGCGGACGGUCUGUCCGUACCUGACGUGGCACGAGGAGGACGCUGACGGCUUUGCGAUACUGCCGUUCCUCUUCAAUCUCAACUGCACCGCAGCCUACCGCGCCGACCCGCCGCACCCGACGCGCAUCCUCCUCGCUGGCAACCCGCUUACGGCGCAGCACGGGGAGGACGUGCUCGGCAGGGUCUGGAGCGGCCACAGUGUUCUCCAGCGCGCUGUCCUGCGCCUCUACGGCAGCGGCAAGCCGGUCCUAAGCGUGCGCUACAACACCCUCGCCGUCGCCCUCAUGACGGUCGGUGCCGCGGUCACGAGCGCUGGCAACGUCUACCAGGUCUACCGCGCCAUUCGCCGCACGCCGGCGGCGGAGCUGGAGAAGUUCGGCGGCCGGCGCUUCAGCAUCCGUUUUCCUUUCCUGCACGCCCUCUCACGCCUCGUCCCGCUCGUCGUCGUCACGUUCACGGCGAGCGCGUGGCUUCUCACCUCGAACGAUGACAUUUUCCGGCGGCACCCGCGCAUCUUCUGUUGGACGGUGGGACUGCUCUAUACGAAGCUGGCCAUACAUCUCAUGCUGGCGCACCUCUGCAGCGCCGAGUUCCUCCCCUUUCGCCGCACCCUCGCGCCGUUCGUGCUCCUCGGCGUACACGUCUGGCUCACCUAUGUGCGCAACGUCAGUCAACUGCGGCGGCAACAGCAGCAGCAGCACAGUGGGCGAGCUGGUGUUAGCGGUGAUGGCGGCAACGGUGGUGGUGCGAGUUGGACUGCGCUGCCGUACACCGUCAGCGGUAGCGCAACUCGCAGUGGCGCGUGGCCGAGCCGCGGCGCGGGCAGCGCCGCCUCCAGCGACACCCACUCCGACUACGCCUACAACCUCGAUGAGGAGCUCGCUCUGUACGAGUUGUUUGCGCUGUCUACCGUGACCUUCGCCCACCUGGCCUGGAGCGUCGUGCGGGAGACGGCGGCGUUACUGCAGGUACCCAUAUUUACAGUUCCGCGCGAGAAGCAGAAGGCGCUGCGCGCCGCCAUGGAAGCGACCCGGCCCGCCAAGGCGACGGCAACGUUGGCGGCGUCGCCCGGCAAGCUUCGGAAGGGCAAGUAGUCGGCUGAGCCCAUCCUCCGCCGCCUCCUCCUCCGCCUGCAUACAUCCAUCGCGGUCUGUGAUAGCAGGCGCGGAGGCGCGAAGCGGUGAGAGGGUGUGUGCGUGUGUGCGUGGCCCCUAGGCAGGCGAAAGGGUUGGGCGGCGUGCGCAAGGGACGGCCGCCGGCGGCCCACCCCUCCUACACACACACACACACGCACUGGCGGUCCUGCCUGCAACUCGCCGCUGCCGCUUUUACAUGCUUGCUUUGCCUGUCGCUUGCCAGAUGGUGGCGCGCAGCGACGCCUAACGACCCCUCGUGCGUCUAUUUCACUGACAUGCACAAGCGCGCUCACGCACGCAGAGAGAGUCGCAUGCGCUCGCACACGCAGACACACGCGCGAGCGUCAAGAGUGCAGACGG